UGAACAGAAAAAAGUUGUGAGCGGAAAAUGGGGAAAAACCGUAAAUUUUAGUCGUUUUUUCAAAAUGGCGGCCGAGGGGAGGGUCGGAUCCGUCAGGCAAGUCGAAAUUCGGAUUCUACGACCCAAAAAACAUAAAGUCCGCCCAUAAUUGCUAGUUCGACUAAACUUUCCUGCUAGAAUUCUCUAUUGCCUGGACUAAUGGUAGCGCAUGACUCUCUUGCGUUGUAUUUUUGAAGUGAUUUUUUCUGCCACGUCUUCGUCUAUUCAUCAUUCAAGUGUAACCAUUCUUUACGCUAUGACCUUCUUCCCUUGUGAGUGUCCUCAUGUAUAUUAAAGUUGUUUUCUUCUGAGGCCAAGAAGCAUUCCCAAUCACUGGUGGAUUGGAGAAGAGUUCUUAUCAAGGAUGAAGCCCAAAGAGUGCGGUUACCCGCGCUGUGUGUUGACGCUGUUCACUUUGAUGUUACUUCACAGUCAUGGAGAAGCGGCGCAAUACGACUAUAUACUCGCGGCGGCAAACCAGUGCCAUGGCAUCAACCUCCGAACAGACGGGAGAAUCAAGGCUAUGACGGACCUAACAUGCAAGGAGGCGUUCAAGGCCAUAGACGAGCUGAAACUGAACACUGGAUGCCCAGUAUGGUCCGAAGCCAAGUGCCGUAGAAUAACCCCCGGUGAUGAGUUCUUCGAAUGCAGCGUCAAGGUGCCAAACCCAUGCGGUGUCGUCCCGCAAAUACCUCAGACCAUCAUCGACUGCGCGCCGGUCCUGGCAGAAGGGUCCGACGAAGACAGACCCCCAUCCGGAUCAGCCGCGUCGAGCGGGGCAGAUAAGGGUAAGGGUAAAGCGCCUGUCCAAGGAAGAGCCAAGAAACGCAGAACUGAUAGUGCAGGCAGCUCAGGCAGAGCGAAUCCAUUUUCUAUCGGGGGCUCUUCACAGGCUGCAGGCUUUUCAUACGCGAGAGGCUCUCCAUACGCUGGGGGUGCUCCACACGCUGGGGGUGCUCCACACGCUGGGGGUGCUCCAUACGCUGGAGGUUCUUCAUACCCUGGAGGAUCUUCAUACCGUGGAGGUUCUGCACCUCAGGGAUAUUCCCGUCCUAGAAGUCCUCAGCAUAUCACGCAUUCGGAUCCCAGUUUCAAUAUAGAUAGUUUCUUCAGGGACAAUCCUUCACUGGAUUCAAUUUUUGAAACUACAACACCUGCUAUUGCUCCUCUCAAUCCACCUCCUGGCCACAUUACAGAUGAAUCAUUCGAUGUAAGGGAAAUGUUAGAUCCUUCGUCUGGUCAAAGUGCAUCUUAUGACAUCCCGCAUGCAACUUCCCGCAAGUCCUCCAAUUCCCUCAAGUCCACUUAUUCCCGCAAGUCCACAAUUUCCCCAAAGUCCACUAAUGCCUUCAAGUCCACUAAUUCUCCCGAGUCCACUAUUUCCCACAAGUCCACAACUUCCUGCAAGUCCACGAUACCCUGCGAUUUCACCAAUCACUGCACCUCCAGGACACAUUCAGGAUGA
rnacentral:lncRNA from 1 species